ACUCCAUGUCCGACCACCCUACUGCCUCCUCUCCGUCACUACUCAAACCACCCUCCCCAAGCACACCACCACAAACAUCAAAUGACGCUCUUCUUCAGCGUCUUCCAAGCAGCCCACGUCGAUGAACCAACCAGCUCCAGCUCCUCCAUCGUCAAAUACACUGACCCAACGACCCUUGUCCUGUGCUCAACCAUAACCAGCGAGCAACAGCGCUCCAUCUUCACCGAGACCCACUUACCGAACGACUUCAUGUCCAAACAACCACCUCAAGACCCUCCAGUUGCCCGUCGUCAACCACCACGAGCAACACCCUUACAAAGCAGACCUCCCAGUUCACGCUAGCAAUCCCUCUCGCUGCUUCGUCGUCUUCCUCACGUCCCCACGACCACUUCGCUGCCUGUCGUCCCCAGCCCCGAAUGACCCCUCCUAGUCCCUCAUCUCCCAUGAACAUACACGCACACAAACGAAAAAAGAAG
rnacentral:lncRNA from 1 species